rnacentral:ncRNA from 2 species
GCAUAACUCUUGGGGUGCCUUUAUCCUGAAACGGACUAAUUGGCUGAGAUUAAACCCAUGGAACCUGAACCAGAUCACGCUGGCGUAGGAAAGAGGCUUUAUCUAAAU